UCCGGCGGUGUUGGCGGCGGUGCGUCCCAAAGCAAUGGCGGCGGGUGGAAGUGAUCCGCGGGCUGGCGACGUAGAAGAAGACGCCUCCCAGCUCAUCUUUCCCAAAGAAUUUGAGACGGCUGAAACACUCCUAAACUCUGAAGUUCACAUGCUUCUGGAGCAUCGAAAGCAACAGAAUGAAAGUGCAGAGGAUGAGCAGGAGCUCUCCGAGGUCUUCAUGAAGACCCUAAACUAUACAGCCCGUUUCAGUCGAUUCAAAAACAGAGAGACAAUUGCCAGCGUUCGUAGCUUGCUUCUCCAGAAAAAGCUACAUAAGUUUGAGUUGGCCUGUUUAGCCAAUCUUUGCCCAGAGACUGCUGAAGAGUCCAAAGCUCUCAUUCCAAGCCUGGAAGGUCGUUUUGAAGAUGAGGAACUGCAGCAGAUUCUCGAUGAUAUCCAGACCAAGCGCAGCUUCCAGUACUAAUCGCCAGAUGUUCUCUGCUUUUGAGACGGCUCCAGAACAGUACCAGGUUCCCAAGCCUGUGUCAGCCUCAUGGGACACUGCUGCACAAUCACUGGGGCUUCUCUGUGGUUCUCAAAGUCGUGACAGUUCUGCCUCAGCCUCCCAAGUGCUAGGAUUACAGGUGUGAGGAAAGGCUGGCGUGGCGAUGGUCUAGGUUUCUGUCUCCAUAGUGACUACCAGAUCAGAAUUACUGAGUCUUCUUCUUGCAGCCUUGUAAUGGCUGCUGUGGUCAAGCAUGCUGCAAUCCUGAACCAGUGAGGUAGUGGUUUCUUGGGCUCCAUGUUAUUAUUUUUUUGUUCUUGACAUUUCAAUUAUAUUUUUGAUUGAUACAUAUUUCAAAAAAAAUCAAUAUUUUGUAUUUUUUGAAGCUGUUAUAUUAAAAACUUGUGCAGAGGAAGAAUGUUCUUACCUAGUUGCCAAAGGGAGAGAUAAACCAGAACACUGCCAUUAUUUUAUUUUUUUUAAAGGAUUGUAUUAUUUGUUUAUGAUCCAUGAUGUGUGUGGAGGUCAAAGGAUAACUUGCAGGAGUCAGUUUUGUCUAUUGUGUGGUUUUUCAGGUUUGAAUUCAAGCCGUCAGCCCUGGUGGCAUGUGCCUUUAACCACUGGACCAUCUUUCUGGUCCCUAGUUUAUUUUUAUUUUAUUUAUGGAUUCAUCUUUGCAAUUUAAGAGACCAGAUCCAAAGCCUUGCACAUGCUAGACAAGUGCGGUAACAGUGGGUAACAUUCUAGCUCUGAUUCCUUUUGCUUAUGUCUGUGUGUUAUAUCAUAUGUAUGUACAAGUGCAUGCAUCAGUGUAAGGAGAUUGUCAGAGGACAAUGGAUGUAUGCCCAUAGUUCUGUCCUUUGAGAUGGGUCUCUCUCACAGAAUCUAGAACUAGACUGGAUGACAAAAGCCCCAACAAUCCUGUCUCCAGUCUCUCGUUGUCCUCACCAACACUGGAGUUCCAGGCAUGUACAGGUGCAGCAUGCCAGUCUUCACUAACUUUAGUUCUGAGGAUCCAAAUUCACAUCUCCGUGCUUGCACAGCAAGUCUCUUAUUCACUGAGCCAGUCCCCCAGUCAGCCUGACAUGUUUAAAAGAUGAGAGCACAGUUGACUGAAAGAACUUUGACAUCACUGUACAUAACCUGGAGACAGGAAGGAAGCACACUUGGGAAGCAGUUACCCUUGGGUCCUUAGCCUUGUGGUAGAUGUACUUCAGCUUGGGGGCAAGGGACUGACUUGAAGAAUGUAUAUGUGAAAUGGCCUUGAAGAGUUUAUAUUGUCUCCUUCCAAUCAAAAUCUCUCCUUCAUAGGCCAAAUUUGAAGACUUGAACACUGAGGUCUCCUCAUGAGAUAGUUAAUUCAAACCUCUGGUUUGAUGCUUAGUGACAGGUAGUCUAUUGUCCUAUGUCCACUAUGUGGAAGGAGUGACUGUGCUCCUGUCUCAGUGCUAGAAACCAGGUUCAGUAUGUCUGGUGUCCUCUCAUCUUAAAUCCCAGCACUCUGGAGGGAGGCAGAGGCAGGGAGAUUCCCUGAGUGUGAAGUCAGCCUGGUGUUACACAUGGUGAGAUCCAGGAUAGACAAGCCUACAUAAUGAGACCCUUCCGGGGGGAAAAGUGAGGAAAAGUUAAAAAAAAUUUAGAAAAAAAUGCCUGAAAGGAGAGAGCUCGUGAGCCCUGUGAGCCUCUCUGUUUCUUUCAUAGAGAUCUUAACAGGCCAGAUUUCAUGAAGUCCUGUAAGUGAUCACAGGCUGCUCUGAUUCAAGGUGGUGGUGCUUAUAGCUGGCCUGAAGGAAACAGCCACAGGAUGGGCUUAACAAGCCAGGUGUUUUCCAUGAGUGCUGGGGAGGAUGAGUCCAAGUUGGUCAGAGUGUUCUGUGGAGGUUGGAGGGGUGGAUGAGGAGGCCUGUGGAGUCAAAGAACCUGCUCACAAAAAAAUGCAGAAUGCAGUGGUGGCUACAGAAGAAGAGAGAGCUGGGUCAGCAUGGAACUAUACAGAGAGGAGAUGGAAGACACCAUGUGAGGGAGCAGCCAUGGAGCAGAGCUGUAGAGUGCUUGUCAGCUUAGAAGAAUGAUGCAAACUUGGAGAAGUUAACUCUCUGGAGUUCUGAAAAGAAAUGAGGUCCAGUGGCCAAAAGGGAAGCUAGACAGGAGCAGGAAAGAAUGCAAGGGAGGUAGGCAGGGUGUGUGGCAUAAACAAUAGAUAGAUUGAGCCCUUAUAUGAUGAUGUGAGUAUUACAAGGCUUAUUUACGUAUUCUGGCCACCGGCCGGACUGUCCAUCCAAAGAAUACUUUGUAUUUAGCUGGGUGGAAGUGGCACAGGCCUUUAAUCCCAGCACUCCAGAGGCAGAGGCAGGUGGAUCUCUCAGUUCUGAGGCCAGCCUGGUCUACACAGUGAAUUAGAGGACAGCCAGUGCUAUACAAACCCUGUUUCGAAAAACGAAAAACAAAGCAAAACAACCCAGUAACAAAAACCAAAAUACUUUGUAUUCAGCCAUCAAAUGUUUAUAUAUUUUUUUUUUUUUACAUAGUAAACAUUUUGUGUUACGUAUGUGUGGGUGAGUAGGUAAGAAUGGGGAGGUGAGAGGACAACUACUGGAAAGAGGUUCUCUCCUUCACCACAACUCCUGGGGUAUCUAUCAGGCUUGGUGGCAAGCACCUUUACUUGUUGAGUCAUCUUGUUGGCCCAAAUAUCUGUAUCUUUUAAGUUUGAGCAUAGAAAACACCUUUUGUUUUGUUUUGUUUUUGUUUUUGUUUUUGUUUUGAGACAGGGCCUCACUAUGUAUGUAGCUCUGGCUAUUCUGGAACUUACUGUGUAGACCAGGCUGGCCUUGAGUUUACAGAGAUAGUGCUGGGAUUAUAGACAUAUGCCACAACAGCAUAGGCAGGAUCUCUGAGUUCAAGGCUAGCCUGGUCUACUAAGCUAGCCAGGACAGCCAGGCUGAUUUUUGGGUUUUUUGUUUUGUUUUGUUUGAGAUAAGGUCUCACUCUGUACCCACGCUGGCCUGAAUUAACAGCAAACUGCCUGCUUCCUGAGUGUCACAAUUAUAAGAGAACAUACUUGGCCAAACAUUUCAUGAUGUUUAUGGUGCUGUUACAAUAAUAAGAUCAUUGCCAGAAUGGUGUGAUAGGAGAGUAUGGCAGGAACUCCACAAGGAGAGCAACAGAACCAAUAUCUGGGUACAAGGGUCUUUUUUCAGACUGAUACUCCAACCAAGGACCAUUCAUGGAGAUAACCUAGAACCCCUGCACAGAUGUGGCCCAUGGCAGUUCAGAGCCCAAGUGGGAUCCAUUGUAAUGGGAACAGGGACUGUUUCUGACAUGAAUUCAGUGGCCUGCUCUUUGAUUACCUCCCCCUGAGGGGGGAGCAGCUUUGCCAGGCCACAGAGGAGAACAAUGCAGCCAGUUCUGAAGAGACCGGAUAAGCUAGGGUCAGAUGGAAGGGGAGGAGGACCUCCCUAUCAGUAGACUUGGAGAGGGCCAUGGGAGGAGAUGAGGGAGGGAGGGUGGACUUGAGAGGGGAGGAGGGUGGGGAUACAGCUGGGAUAUAAAGUAAAUAAACUAUAUAAAAAUAAAAAUUACAGGGCACAUACCUGUAAUCCCAGCACUGUGGGAGGCAUAGGCAGGAUCUCUGAGUUCAAGGCUAGCCUGGUCUACUAAGCUAGCCAGGACAGCCAUGUCUUGAAAAACAGAGAAAGAGAGAGAGAAAAUGAAAUAGUCUCCCCUCCCCCCUUUUAAGAUACAUUGUAGGCUUGCCUCUAACUUCUGGUCCUUCUUUCUCUGCUUUUAGACUACUGAGGUUAUGGGUUUGUGCUACCAUUCCUGGCUUUAUGUAGUAUUGGAGUUGAACCCAGGGUCUCUGUCACACUAGAUAAAUGUUUGCCUGCCAUGAAAUAGUCAUUCGUGAAGCUUGUAAUCUCAGUACUUGGGAUGCAGGUGCAAAAGGAUCAGGUGCUCAGGCAUCCUCAGCUACAUAGCAAAUUAAAGACAUGCCUUUAAUCCCAGCACUCGGGAGCAGAGGCAGGUGGAUCUCUGCAUUCAAGCCUAGCCUGGUCUACAAAGUGAGUUCCAGGGCAGCCAGGGCUACACAGAAAACUUGUCUGGAAAAAACCAAAAAUAAAAAAUAAAAUGGCAAGCCUGGGCUACAUGAGACCCUGUCUCAAAAACUAACACCUCCAUCUUCCCACCCAGUGAGAGGAUAAAUAAAAGGAUAAUAUGGUCAGAUAGCCUGGAAAGCUGUUUGGUUCCUUAUCUGAAGCUGUGUAAGAUGACUAAUAAAGGUACAAAGGCCACACUUGGAAAGCAGAGACAGGUGGAUUUCUGUGUGUUCCAGGUGUACCAGGGCUACAAAGUGAAACCCUGCUUUCAAAAGUACCCGCCACUAAAAAUAGUACAAAGGGGAGGUAAUGAUUUGCAUCUGAAAUAGGAGCCCUGUAGGGAUCCUAUGUGUGCCUUGGUUCCUAAUGUAGCAAUGCUCAAAGUAUGAUGACUUCAUAUGCUAUCAAAUGUGAUGAGUACUGAUGAGGGGCAGAACCUAAGUGAAGGGAGUAGGCUAUUGGAGGUAUGCCCUCAGGUGUCAGCCUUGGUUCCUUCCUCUUGCUGUCUUUCUCUUUCGCUGUCUUUGCUUCCUAAACAUGAAUUAAGCAGCUUUUUCCUGCACCUGCUUCUGAAACCAUGAUGUUCUGUUGCAGAGCAGUCAACCGUGGAUUGUAACCUCUGGAACAAGGAUGUGGGGUUGGAGAGAUGGCAGAGUGGCUAAGAGCACUUGCUUGCUCUUCGUGCAAGUACUGGACCUGGAUUAGAUUCCCAGCACUCACAUGGCAACUCAGAGCACCUACAACCUCAGUUCUAGAGAAUCCAGUGCUCUCUUCUGCCCUUCUUAGGCACCAUGCAUGCCAAUUCUUGCAGGCAAAACAGUCAUACACGUAAAAACUUAUUUCAAGAGGUAAGAACAAGGCAUAGUUACAAUCAAAUCAGAGCAGAAUCAACAUCCAACAAUAUAAGUAAAAUCCUGUAGCCCUGACCUCUUCCUGGGAUUCACUUCUAGUCUGGGCUGCAAAGGCCUUGUGAGGCUCCAACUCUACCAUUUUACCUUCCACAGACUACAUAGCUUGUUCUGGCCAAUUCCCUUCCACCACACUUGCUGCCGCUCUUGUUUAUUCCACAGAAUUGGUAUCACUCGUAUGCUGGAAUGUUCACUGCAAUUGAGGUUACCCCUUCACCAGUUGCCUGGGCCCUUCAGUACUGGGCUCCACAUUAAGGAGGCUGCACCCUUACCAAUGGCCUGCCUAUUGCAAGGACUCUACCAUUGCUAUGAUACCAAGUCUUGGCUGCUCUUCCUACACCCUUCAAGCCUUCAUGUCGGAGAUGCUUACAUAUUACCAAGUUCAGCUGCUAGUUUCAGGGGCAGUUUUGGCCCCUCUGAUCCAUCUUGAGUGCCAUGACACACAAACACACACAAUAAAUACUACUUUAAAUUUUAAAAAUAAAGGACUACAGAAAUGGCUCAGUA